AUUGCAUCUUGAGUUCUGUAUCACAGAGAAGAAAGCACAAUUCUUAGUAGCUCUCAAGGUUAUGGAGACAACACAUUCUAUACAAUGGGAAAACUGCUCUGUCCCAUCCAUGCGGUGAAUGAGGACUAGGUCAGGAAGGUGUUCUGCAAGCAUUGGAAUAAAUAACAGAAGCUCAAACCAGAGUCUUGGAAUUCGCCGUAGAAUGAAAUGUGAAGUCUCACCUGCCCGGAUCAAAAACGGAGAAUGUUUCUUCACAUAUGAGUCACUACCCCUAGCAAAAGUCGGCAAAGUCUGGAAGACAGUUUCACCCUCCCGAGUAACUCUUCAAAUCCCAAGAAGGUCAGCAAGCCAAAGAGCAUUCAUCGGUACAUCUGGAAGGGAACAGGAACCUCCACCCACUAGUGUUUGACAGCCAUGAAUGAAAUAAUGGGCAAUAAGACAAAGGAGAAACUUGCGCGGUCAUCCUCGUUACAAACCCGUGAAAUCUGAUAACAUGAUAGAUUUUAUAACCCUGACAAGCAAAGAACUUGAGAAGUCAGUAGAAGGAAGGCAAAUGGGAACAAGGAUUUACUCCCUCCUCCACUUGGAGCAUCCUGUAAAUAUUUUGGUGUAAUUUUCAUACAGUGUUUAGUUUCUUUCUAUACCCAGAGGGCAAGAAGAUAUUUGGCAAUAUUAGAUCUUGUUCAUAGCAAAUAUCAAAACCUCAGUAAUUGAUUUAGAAUCUAAUGACAUAUAGAGAAAAGGCUUUUAUUUCCUCUUGAUAAUUCUUCUCAAUAAAAAUAAAUUGACUCAUCUAUCUACCUGUCUGCAUUGUUUAGCACUUUAUUGCCACAUUUUUAUUAAGAUUUGUUCCAACCAACCAACAUUUUUUUCAGUUGGUUUUAGGUUUUCUGGCAGUGGGAGAUAGCUUUCUUUACUUUUUUUUCCAGUUUUAUUUUCUAAGACAUUGCAUAGUUCCAAGUCAAAUUAAAAAAUAAACAUAUUUAGAGAAUUCUAGCUGCCAUCCCUGCCUCUUACUCCCUGUUUUCUUCCUCCCCACAUAGGUGAAUAUUUUUAUUAGCUUUUGGAUUGACUGUCUAUUGUUUCUUUCUGACAAUAUAAGCAAAGUAUACACAUGCAAAUAUAUAUACACACAGAUACACAUAAAUUGAUUAUAUCAUAAAUGCUAUUCUGAACUCUGCUUUUUCUCACUAACAAUGCAUCUUUCAAUUCCACAUGGCAGUAUAUAAAGAUAUCCUUUAUUCCAUUUUAUAACUGUUUAGUACACCACUGUGUGGAUGCAUCAUAAUUUAUUCAGCCAUUCUCGUAAUAUAGAUAUUUGGGUUGUUUCUUGUAUUUUGCCAUUAUAAUUUAUACUGCAAAGAAUAGCCUGUGCAUGUUAUAUUUUUCAUUAAUUUUCUGCCAGUUCUGACUUCUUUUAAAGAGAUAAACACCAAUUCACAUGAAAACCAUGUGCAAUUCAUCUAUCAGAAUGACCUCCACAAACCUAAUGGAAACAUUUCAGGAUUGGAGGCAGGAAUUUCGUGUGAAGCCACAGAAGGCCCGUCCCACAUGAGAAAAGUGCAAACAAUGAACCAAGUGUAGAAAAGUAACCAAACUCUGCUUGGUUUUCCUCGCUGGAUAAUAAACCCUGUGAAAAAUGCAUCAUUGAUAGCAAGCGGAACACUCUGAAGAUCAAAUAAGCAGUAAAAAUAAGUAUGCCAACACAGAUGCUGAAAAGCUGUAUUGUAAUAUGAGUUUUUUUAAUUCACCUCACAGCAACAAUUGGGAAGUCAAACUGUGGUUCUCUGAUGUAAUGAAAACUAGAUCGAGAGUAUGGAUUUAGGGAAGAGUGGUGAUUUUCAGGACAGACUUUUAGUAGACCCAUUUCAUCAUCAUGUUUCAUUUUUACUCAGUACCACACAAAAUAGUCUUUCAAAGAAAAUAACAUGAACCUAGAUGGUGCUACUGGCUCUGUGUUUGGAACUCUCUAAAGCUUUUGCUUUAAUUUCAGG
ensembl:lncRNA